AUCGAAGCUCGUGGCGAUUUGCGGCAUAUUGCGGCCACGUAAAAAAUCCCGCUAAAAAGCCGGCCCGGCGGUGCC
rfam:Gemmatimonadetes bacterium RIFCSPLOWO2_02_FTLL_71_11 rifcsplowo2_02_scaffold_79746, whole genome shotgun sequence.